GCCUAAAGCGUCCGUAGCCUGAUCUAUAAGUUUCCGGUUAAAUCCACAUGCUCAACAUUUGGGCUGCCGGAAAAACUGUAGAUCUAGGGAGUGGGAGAGGUAGACGGUAUUCGGUAGGAAGGGGUAAAAUCCUUUGAUCUAUUGAGGACCACCUGUGGCGAAGGCGGUCUACCAGAACACGUUCGACGGUGAGGGAUGAAAGCUGGGGGAGCAAACCGGAUUAGAUACCCGGGUAGUCCCAGCUGUAAACGAUGCAGACUCGGUGAUGCGCUGGCUUGUGGCCAGUGCAGUGCCGCAGGGAAGCCGUUAAGUUUGCCGCCUGGGAAGUACGUACGCAAGUAUGAAACUUAAAGGAAUUGGCGGGGGAGCACCACAAGGGGUGAAGCCUGCGGUUCAAUUGGAGUCAACGCCAGAAAUCUUACCCGAAGAGACAGCAGAAUGAAGGUCAAGCUGGAGACUUUACCAGACAAGCUGAGAAGUGGUGCAUGGCCGUCGCCAGCUCGUGCCGUGAGAUGUCCUGUUAAGUCAGGUAACGAGCGAGAUCCCUGCCUCUAGUUGCCACCAUUACUCUCAGGAGUAGUGGGGCGAAUUAGCGGGACCGCCGCAGUUAAUGCGGAGGAAGGAAGGGGCCACGGCAGGUCAGUAUGCCCCGAA
rnacentral:rRNA from 1 species